rnacentral:rRNA from 1 species
GACGAACGCUGGCGGCGUGCCUAACACAUGCAAGUCAACUUGACUGAAGGAGCAAUCUGACAGUAGAGUGGCGCAAGGGUGCGUAACGCGUAAGUAACUUGCCCCAAGGUAAGGAAUAACGUCGAGGAAUCGGCGCUAAUACCUCAUAAUGCAGCGGAUCCGCAUGGAUAUGUUGUUAAAGGUUUACCGCCUUGGGAUAGGCUUGCGUCUGAUUAGCUAGUUGGUGUGGUAACGGCACACCAAGGCUACGAUCAGUAACUGGUCUGAGAGGAUGAUCAGUCACACUGGAACUGAGACACGGUCCAGACUCCUACGGGAGGCAGCAGUGAGGAGUAUUGGGCAAUGCUCGAAAGAGUGACCCAGCAACGCCGCGUGGAGGAUGAAGGUAUUCUAUAUCGUAAACUCCUGUGAGAGCAGACGAAAGACAGAUUAUUAAUCUGGAUGACUGUAUGCUCAGAGGAAGCCCCGGCUAACUAC